GUCAUCGGUUCGGCAACUGGUGCAAGUUUUGCAGGAAAAUCUUCCUAUAAUAAAUACGAUUUCUUAGUUAUUGUAAUUGGCAAUGUGUGUUCAUACUUACUGAAACAUUCUGCACAGUUCUUACUGAAGUUUUCGAUGGAUGAUCGUUACUAUCGCGCCAUUUGAAAGCAGUAGUGGGUAGUACGAUCGGUUGCCCGCCGAAUGACGUGGAGAAAAACAGCAGGGUCAAUAAACAAGUGCUUUUCAAACUAGUGUAUUGAAGAUUUGGACACGGGUGUUACUUGAAUUAAGUGGUAAAAAUGUUUGAAAUAACAGACACACAGAAAAUCGGAGUCGGCUUGGCUGGCUUUGGCAUAGCGUUUCUAUUCCUUGGGAUGCUUUUAUUGUUCGAUAAAGGUUUACUGGCGAUAGGAAAUAUUCUUUUCGUGUGCGGCCUAGCCUGCGUGAUAGGAUUGGAACGAACGUUUCGUUUCUUCUUCCAAAAGCAUAAAGUGAAAGCAUCGAUUGCGUUUUUCGGUGGCAUUGCCAUCGUGCUGUUCGGGUAUCCGUUGAUCGGGAUGCUUAUCGAAAUGUACGGCUUCAUACUGCUCUUCAGUGGAUUCUUCCCGGUAGCCAUCAACUUCCUGCGGCGGGUACCGGUGUUAGGCAACUUCCUCAAUAUGCCCGGCAUCAGUAGGACCGUCGAUUGGUUAGCUGGCGAAUCGGACCGAACAACGGUAUGAUAGGAUUAAGGCAAGGUUCCCGUUCGAUCGUUGAUCACCGGUAGCGGGUGGAGGGAAACGCUUACACCAACUGAAAAACGAAGCGCACUAACCGGAGCAGGCAAGGGUGGAACUAAUGAAUGAUCAUGCGUGUCUAAUUAAUGUCCGGUCAUUUCUAGCACCUCUCAAAGUUGGAAAUAAAGAUCGUUCGCUAAUGAUUAAGUCCCGAAAAUAAAAAUCCAUUG